rnacentral:rRNA from 1 species
UACGUAGGAGGCGAGCGUUGUCCGGAGUUACUGGGCGUAAAGGGUGCGCAGGCGGCGGUUCGCGUGGCGAGAUGAAAUCUCCUGGCUUACCUGGGAGGAUGGUCGCCAGACGGGAUCGCUUGAGGGUCGGAGAGGGGCGUGGAAUUCCGGGUGGAGCGGUGAAAUGCGCAGAUAUCAGGAGGAACACCGAUGGCGAAGGCAGGUCUCUGGGCCACUACUGACGCUGAGAAGCGAAAGCAUGGGGAGCGAACAGG